CUUUGAAAGAUAAGGAAUAUGCAAGACUGGAUACAAGAGGAACGCAAUCUAAGAAGUUAAAUCAUUCAAAGGGCUAAAAGUUUGCAAGCGGUGGUUGAGAGACAACAGCAGUUCUGGUUGGUGCGGCGUCGAGAAAGGGGGUGGAAACAGACUCCCAGUAGAUUUAUUCGAAGGAUAACUUGUGACGAUUUUUAUAACUAUGGGAUCAUGUAUUUUCUGGUCCUCGAUCUCUGCAUAAUCUAUUGAAAAUUCCAUGUCCUUGGAAUCAUGAACUUCGAGAU
rnacentral:misc_RNA from 1 species